rnacentral:rRNA from 1 species
UACGUAGGGUGCAAGCGUUGUCCGGAAUUAUUGGGCGUAAAGAGCUCGUAGGCGGUUUGUCGCGUCUGCCGUGAAAGUCCGGGGCUCAACUCCGGAUCUGCGGUGGGUACGGGCAGACUAGAGUGAUGUAGGGGAGACUGGAAUUCCUGGUGUAGCGGUGAAAUGCGCAGAUAUCAGGAGGAACACCGAUGGCGAAGGCAGGGUCUCUGGGCAUUAACUGACGCUGAGGAGCGAAAGCAUGGGGAGCGAACAGG